GGGAAGAUCCCCUGGAGAAGGGAAAGGCUACCCACUCCACUGUUCUGGCCUGGAGAAUUCUGUGGACUGUAUAGUCCAGGGGGUCGCAAAGAGUCGGGCACGACUGAGCGACUUUCACUCCCUCUUCCCUCCUUCCUGGGAGUUACCCAAGGCGCUCGGCUUCUUUGGCUUAGAUGAGACCAUCGCCUCAGCUCGAAGGCUGCAAAAGCAGAACAGCCUGAUGGAGGGUCCCCGCUCCCCUCGCUCAGUGCCUACGAGUUUUUCUUCUGCACGUUGGUCUGUUGUUUUACACCAGUGGCCGCCUUUAUCCGUGCAGCCCCUGGGUGGGUGCGGCGAUCUCCGUUUGUUUCCCGCAGGGUCGAUUCUUACCCAGACCUGCCCUGAACGUCUCACGUGGGCCUGGACAUUCCCAGAGGAAGGUCCUCCAUGUGGAGAGCAUCCCCAGGCGGUUUGUGGACGUCCCUGCCUGACUUCUGCUGCCCGCCCAUCUGGGGUCCACCCUGCAGAGAGCUGAGGAAGCUGCCAGUUCUGAGAGCCUGGAGAUCAGAGAGAAAGCCAGGCAGCCCUAAGUCCUUCCACCUUCGCCCUGGACCAGACGAUGCUGAAGCUGUUCUGAAGCGUGUCCGUGCCGACACCUCGCAGGUUGAUUAAAAUGGGGGAUCUCCAGCCCCUUGGC
ensembl:lncRNA